rnacentral:rRNA from 1 species
UUUUUUAAGAGUUUGAUCCUGGCUCAGGAUGAACGCUAGCGGCGUGCCUGAGAUAUGCAAGUCGAGCGACCUUGACGCAAGUCAAGGAGCGGCGGACGGCUGAGUAAUACAUAGGAAUCUCCCUCUUACUGGGGAAUAGCCCCGCGAAAGCGGGAGUAAUACCCCAUAGUUCCCGAUGCAAAUCGGGAUAAAGGAAGUAACUUUUCGGUAAGAGAUGAGCCUAUGGUCUAUCAGGUAGUUGGUAGGGUAAUGGCCUACCAAGCCUAUGACGGAUAGCUGGCCUGAGAGGGUGGUCAGCCAGAGGGGGACUGAGACACGGCCCCCACUCCUACGGGAGGCAGCAAUCAGGAAUAGUCGGCAAUGGACGAAAGUCUGACCGCGCGACGCCGCGUGUAGGAUUAAGCUCUAACGAGUGUAAACUACUGUGGUAAAGGAAGAAGUCCCGAUGUUACAUCGGGAUUGACGGUACUUUAUUAGAAAGGGGCCGCUAACUGCGUGCCAGAAGCGUCGGUAAUACGUGGGCCUCAAGCGUUAUCCGGUAUCACUGGGCGUAAAGGGUCGUGUAGGUGGCUUGAUGAGUUAUCUUUUAAAUUUUCCCGCUCAACGGGGAACAUGGAGAUAAUACUAUCAAGCUAGAGUUUUCUUUAGGGAGAUUGGAACUGAGGGAGGAGUAGUGAAAUGCGUUGAUACCCUCGGGAACACUAGUGGCGAAGGCGAAUCUCUAAAAGUUGACUGACACUGAGACACGAAAGCUAGGGGAGCGAAGCAGAUUAGAGACCUGCGUAGUCCUAGACAUAAACGAAUGUCUGCUAGCUGCAUCCUUGAUUUUUAAUCUAGGGUGUGGCGAAGGUAACCCGUUAAGCAGACCGCCUGGGGAGUACGACCGCAAGGUUAAAACUCAAAGGAAUUGGCGGGGAGGCACACAACCAGUUGAACAUGUGGUUUAAUUCGAAACGCAACGAGGAACCUCACCAGGGUUUGACAUCCUAGUGAAAUUCCGAUGAAAG